ACAGUGAUGCUGUGUUACCGUGUUCCCCCCAGCACCAAGGAGAACAUCGAGACGAAGGUGUUUGACUGGAAGAAAGACGUGACGAAAGACCGCAAGGAGGUGUUCUUUUACAACGGAGGAGAAUAUUACGGUCACGGCAUUACAGGUCAAGACAAACAGUUUAAAGGUCGAGUCUCACAUUUUAACGACGAGCUGAAGAACGGUAACGCCUCCAUAAAGAUCAGGAAGACGACGAGGUCUGACAGUGGAGUCUACACCUGUGAUUUUCCUCGUCUGCAGCCGCCUCAGAAGUUCACCAUUGAGCUGGUUGUUGGUUCUUCACCUGGAUAUCGUGAUAUCUUUGGUCUGAGAAUUACUUUGGUUGGUUUAGUUUUUGUGGCUGUUGUGCUGGGUUUUGCAUAAAGCGUCACUGUAUAAAUCGUAAAAAGGUUCAAAUGCAGAUUCAGUCUUCCAGUGGACUCUUGCAGCCAUCUAAAACAACUCUGUGAAGUAUGUGUGACCUUAAGUAUUACUGGAUUACAUGGAGGGCAGAGGGGUGGCUCUGAAUCAAGUUCAACAUAAAGUUAGAGAGUAUUUAGAGCUGUAUUGGGCUUUAUGAAAGUGUUCAUCAACUUGUUAACUCAGGCUUUCUGCUUCAGGCUCUGAGCAUCGACGCUUCUUCUGCACAAAAUGGAAUGAUCACAGGCUGUCUGCUUCUGUCAGUUUAUAUAUAACUUUAGUUUGAAGUUGUAACGUUUUUUUAUUUAUUGUUGUGUCACAUACAUUUAUAUGCCCAGCCCGCGUGGGCUUACGUGACACCGUAAAUUAAAAUGUUCCAGGAUCAGAGUGCACUCGGUAAACUAUAUUCAUUGUCAAGAAACAAAAAGAGAAAGUCAAACUAAUUAAACAGAAUAUCCUGUCUUCUAUUCCAGGCGUUUGAAAAUGUUCAAACUUCAGAGAGUUAUGCAACUGUUGAAUUUAUUUUUACCAUAUAUGUUAUUUUUCUUUUAUUAUCACUUAAUCUUUUUGUCAUUUCAUUCAUAUCAUAUAGUCAAUACGACUUUAGUUUUUUUUUGUGCUUUUACAUAUCCUGUCAAUCCUACACACACCCGCGGUGCCUAUGCACCUGUGAGGUCAGGAUAAGUGUGCCAUACAUUGAGCAAAACCACAUACGAGCUCGUAGGUGUAUAGCGUUUCUGUGAAUCUGCCUGGUUCAAGCUAAAAACUACAUAUGAACUUAGUAUCACCUGUGUUACCUUGUAUGAUUUGACAUUAAAACCACAUAUGAACUUAG